AUAUUUGUAUUCAUAUGUACUUUUAUGUUUAUCUUUAAAAGAUAC
rnacentral:lncRNA from 1 species